UACGUAGGUGGCAAGCGUUGUCCGGAUUUACUGGGUUUAAAGGGUGCGUAGGCGGUUAUAUAAGUCUGGGGUCAAAAGCUGUCGCUCAACGACGGUUCGCCUUGGAUACUGUAUAGCUAGAGUAAUUCAGAGGAAGCUGGAACGUGUGGUGUAGCGGUGAAAUGCAUAGAUAUCACACAGAACACCGAUUGCGAAGGCAGGCUUCUAUGAAUUAACUGACGCUGAGGCACGAAAGCGUGGGGAGCAAACAGG
rnacentral:rRNA from 1 species